GGAAGCGUGCCCGAAUCAUAAAGGAUUACCUUGAUAGAGUAAACAACAGGGGUUUAAACCCCCUCGUUUCCC
rnacentral:tRNA from 1 species